rnacentral:rRNA from 1 species
AAACUGAGGGAUAACUGCUCGAAAGAGUAGCUAAUACCGCAUGUGGUCUUCGGAUUAAAGCUUCGGCGGUUUGGGAAUGGCCUGCGUCCGAUUAGCUUGUUGGUGAAGGUAAAAGCUCACCAAGGCGACGAUCGGUAGCUGGUCUGAGAGGAUGAUCAGCCUGACUGGAACUGAGAACGGUCCAGACUCCUACGGGAGGCAGCAGUAGGGAAUUUUCCACAAUGGGCGAAAGCCUGAUGGAGCAACGCCGCGUGCAGGAUGAAUGCCUUCGGGUUGUAAACUGCUUUUAUUAGUGAAGAAUAUGACGGUAACUAAUGAAUAAGGGUCGGCUAACUACGUG